rnacentral:rRNA from 1 species
CCUACGGGAGGCAGCAGUGAGGAAUAUUGGUCAAUGGGCGGGCGCCUGAACCAGCCAAGUCGCGUGAGGGAAGAAGGUCCUGAGUAUUGUAAACCUCUUUUGCCAGGGGACAAAGGCGGCCACGGGUGGCCGUAAGAGGGUACCUGGAGAAAAAGCAUCGGCUAACUCCGUGCCAGCAGCCGCGGUAAUACGGAGGAUGCGAGCGUUAUCCGGUUUUAUUGGGUGUAAAGGGCGUGUAGCCGGGUUGACAAGUCAGAUGUGAAAUCCUGCGGCUUAACCGCAGAACUGCAUUUGAAACUGUUGAUCGUGAGUACUGGAGAGGCAGACGGAAGUCCUAGUGUAGCGGUGAAAUGCGUAGAUAGUAGGAGGAACACCAGUGGCGAAGGCGGUCUGCUGGACAGCAACUGACGGUGAGGCGCGAAAGCGUGGGGAGCAAACAGGAUUAGAUACCCCUGUAGUC